GUUGUAGUUGUUUGCUACCUAACCUCUUAUUAGUUUAGUAAAUUUUU
rnacentral:sRNA from 1 species